rnacentral:lncRNA from 1 species
UUCAAUAAUUUCGAUUUUUGCUUUGUCUACCUCUAUACCUCUGUCGGAGACCAAGUGUCCUAGGACAAUUCCUUCUCUUACCAUGAAGUGACAUUUCUCCCAAUUUAAGACUAGGUUCACCUGUUCACAUCUUUCCAAAACUUUUUCAAGGUUAGUCAAACAAUCAUCAAAACUAGAUCCAUGCACAGAAAAAUCAUCCAUAAAGACUUCCAUUAUCUUUUCAACAAAGUCAGAAAAAAUAGACAUCAUGCAUCUUUGAAAAGUAGCAGGGGCAUUACAN